rnacentral:rRNA from 1 species
UACGUAGGGUGCAAGCGUUGUCCGGAAUUAUUGGGCGUAAAGAGCUCGUAGGCGGCCUGUUACGUCUGCUGUGAAAUCCCGGGGCUUAACCCCGGGCGUGCAGUGGAUACGGGCAGGCUGGAGGCAGGCAGGGGAGAACGGAAUUCCCGGUGUAGCGGUGAAAUGCGCAGAUAUCGGGAGGAACACCGGUGGCGAAGGCGGUUCUCUGGGCCUGUACUGACGCUGAGGAGCGAAAGCGUGGGGAGCGAACAGG